GAGCUCCAGAUGGCGGGGGGCCAACCUGGGGCGACCCCCAGCGCCCACUUUCACCAUCUGGACCCCAGCAAACCUCCCUGUGGCCCUUGGUCCCGUCUUCAGCAGCUCCUUCUGGGGUCCCACACCUUCGGAGCCCGGCCCUGCCCCUGAGUCUCUGGAGAGAGCGAGUCAGCAGUUCGCCGCCGCGGGGCUCCCGUUUGCCUAGCACGCCAGUUUCUGUCCAGUUUCACCCCAAAUCCCCACCUCCCCCCACCCCCGAACCUCACGGCCACCCUGGGAAGGAGGCUUGACUUGUGACAUCCACCCCUCUUCACGGCUGAGGAACUUUGGCCCCGAGCGAGGAAGCGACCGGCCCACGGCCACACGCCCGGAGUGGGGGGCAGCAUCUUCUACUAUGUGCAUCUACAUUGGAUGGCAGUGGAGCAACACAGAUUGUUUUCUGACAAAAAUCAGCCAAGUACUAGGAGAGGCAGGACUUUAGAAGUGGAGGAGAUGGAGAAGGAAGCUUAGGUUACUAUGGAGUGUGCAAAAAGGUCCUGUGGAUUUAGAUACCACCACACACAAAUGGUAUGUAAUACUCACUUGAAGACAAAUCAGCCAGAGGGAUCUAACAGCAUUGACCCAUUCUCUGGUCUUCUAGCAUCCAUCAUAGUUUUGUGCUCCUUUUCCAUGAAACACAGCUGUUGUUGGAAGGUACCUGCCCAGAUAAGGACUGCAUUUCCUCUAGCAUCCAGAUGGGACCAAAUGACUGCUGGCCAAUAGAAGUGAGUGGAAAGGACUGACUCCAGUUCCAGGUUGGGCCUCCAACUGCUCUGGGCACGUCGAUGGAACAGAACACCACCUCCACCCCAAUACCACCAAUUCAACUUUACAUGAAUUAUAAGCGAGAAAUAACUUGGACUGUGUUAAGUCAUUGAGUUUCUG
rnacentral:lncRNA from 10 species